rnacentral:rRNA from 1 species
UGGCUCAGAUUGAACGCUGGCGGCAUGCUUUACACAUGCAAGUCGGACGGCAGCACAGAGAAGCUUGCUUCUUGGGUGGCGAGUGGCGAACGGGUGAGUAACAUAUCGGAACGUACCGAGUAAUGGGGGAUAACUAAUCGAAAGAUUAGCUAAUACCGCAUAUUCUCUGAGGAGGAAAGCAGGGGACCUUCGGGCCUUGCGUUAUUCGAGCGGCCGAUAUCUGAUUAGCUAGUUGGUGGGGUAAAGGCCUACCAAGGCGACGAUCAGUAGCGGGUCUGAGAGGAUGAUCCGCCACACUGGGACUGAGACACGGCCCAGACUCCUACGGGAGGCAGCAGUGGGGAAUUUUGGACAAUGGGCGCAAGCCUGAUCCAGCCAUGCCGCGUGUCUGAAGAAGGCCUUCGGGUUGUAAAGGACUUUUGUCAGGGAAGAAAAGGCUGUUGCUAAUAUCGACAGCUGAUGACGGUACCUGAAGAAUAAGCACCGGCUAACUACGUGCCAGCAGGCCGCGGUAAUACGUAGGUGCGAGCGUUAAUCGGAAUUACUGGGCGUAAGCGAGCGCAGACGGUUACUAAGCAGGAUGUGAAUCCCCGGGCUCACUUGGGAACUGCGUUCUGAACUGGUGACUAGAGUGUGUCAGAAGGGAGGUAGAAUCACGUGUAGCAGUGAAAUGCGUAAGAUGUGGAGGAUACGAUGCGAGGCAGCUCUGGAUACACUGACGUCCAUGCUCGAAGCUGGUGACAACAGGAUUGGAUCC